UGUACACAGAGGCUGAUCGAUUCUCCCUGAACAGCCUAUUACGGAGGCACUGCAGAUCAAGCCCGCCUGGAGAGGUGGAGUUUCAAGAGUCCCUUCCUGGUUCACCGUCUCCUUU
ensembl:lncRNA novel transcript